AGAGUUUGAUGAUGGCUCAGAUUGAACGCUGGCGGCAUGCCUAACACAUGCAAGUCGAACGGAAACGAUGGGAGCUUGCUCCCAGGCGUCGAGUGGCGGACGGGUGAGUAAUACUUAGGAAUCUACCCAGUAGCGGGGGACAACUCGAGGAAACUCGAGCUAAUACCGCAUACGCCCUACGGGGGAAAGCAGGGGAUCUUCGGACCUUGCACUAUUGGAUGAGCCUAAGUCGGAUUAGCUUGUUGGUGAGGUAAAGGCUCACCAAGGCGACGAUCCGUAGCUGGUCUGAGAGGACGAUCAGCCACACUGGGACUGAGACACGGCCCAGACUCCUACGGGAGGCAGCAGUGGGGAAUAUUGGACAAUGGGGGCAACCCUGAUCCAGCAAUGCCGCGUGUGUGAAGAAGGCCUGCGGGUUGUAAAGCACUUUCAGUAGAGAAGAAAAGCCUACGGUUAAUAACCGUGAGUCUUGACGUUACCUACAGAAGAAGCUCCGGCUAACUCCGUGCCAGCAGCCGCGGUAAUACGGAGGGAGCGAGCGUUAAUCGGAAUUACUGGGCGUAAAGCGCGCGUAGGCGGCUUUGUAAGUCGGAUGUG
rnacentral:rRNA from 1 species